GUGGCAGCCGCCGCGGUAAUACGAGGGGUCCUAGCGUUGUCCGGAUUUACUGGGCGUAAAGGGUACGUAGGCGUUUUAAAUAAGUUAUAUGUCAAAUAUCUUAGCUUAACUAAGAAAGUGCAUAUAAAACUGUUAAAAUAGAGUUUGAGAGAGGAACGCAGAAUUCAUGGUGGAGCGGUGACAUGCGUAGAUAUCAUGAGGAAAGUCAAAUGCGAAGGCAGCCUUCUGGCUCAAAACUGACGCUGAGGUAUGAAAGCGUGGGGGGCGAACAGGAUUAGAUACCCUGGUAGUCCACGCCGUAAACGAUGAGUAUUUGGUGCUGGGGGAUUCGACCCUUUCAGUGCCGUAGCUAACGCGAUAAAUACUCCGCCUGGGGACUACGAUCGCAAGAUUGAAACUCAAAUGAAUUGACGG
rnacentral:rRNA from 1 species